CUCAAAUAUAAAACCCAUCCUCCUGUUAGGUUGUACGAACAGUCAAGCGCCAUUAGCGUAACACAAUAAAUCAGGUUGAGACGUCAAAAACAUGGCUAAGCAUCAUCCUGACUUGAUCAUGUGCAGGAAGCAGCCAGGAAUAGCUAUUGGGCGUCUUUGUGAGAAAGACAGGGAUGGUUGUCCUAAGAUAGUCAAUCUUGGAAGUGCUAAAACUGAUCUGUUCUAUGAGCGUAAAAAAUAUGGUUUCAAGAAAGAAUCAGACAAUAUACAUUGG